AGUCGGACUCGUGGCCCUGCGCCUCGCGGUGCAGCACGGUCUGGCCCCCCAGCUCGUCCUGUAGGCGCUGCUGGAAGGCCUCCGCAGCGCCCUGCGCUUCCGCACCCGCCUGCUUCCCGACCCAGUAGUGCAGGUCGCUGGACGCCCCCUGCGUGGCCUUCGGGCUCUGGGGGACCUAGGGUCCGGGUGUUUGUGUAUAUGUGUUGCGGGGAAGACGGAGGUGCGGGUGGAGAAGGGGAGGAUGUACCAAGGGCCAUGGGGAGACGCUAGGCAGGGGCUUCCGCGGAGAUCAGGAAGUGGGAGGGAAGGACUAAGAAGCCUCAACGGUAACCGCCCCCUUGUGGGAUGUGAUUCUCCGGCUCUCAACUUGCCGCUUCCCAGGGCAGAGUUUAUGCCUGUGCCUCAGUCUCCCCAGUGCCGGGCCAUGCCACCCCUCUCAGGCAGACUUCCCCAAGCGACUCACGUGGAGGAUGACAUAGCAGUGUUCCUCAAAAAAGUUCCCGUAAGCCCCCUCGGGUACCGGCACCAUCUUCCGGUUCUGGGAGAGGAGAGUUCCCUGUAACAACUCAGGAGGCCUCUACCCAUGACACCCGCUGGGGUGGGGUGGAAGAGGACGCUCUGAGUUGGGGGCGGGAGAAGCCUAGUGUGGAAAACCCCACGCUCUUCCAUGUCACCAACUCUCCUAUUUGGUCGUGCCUCUCACCUCAGAGAUCCAUAUGUGGAGGCCUCCCUGCAUGCCUGGGAGGCCCUUGCUGAUGUCCAUCGCAGGCCAGGCAGGAAUAUGGGACGACACAAGGAACAACAGCCAGAGUUCUCAGGCUGGAGACCGACACCUGGCUACCUGUACAACUUCAUUAUAGAACAUGACUUUUAUUAGGAGGGCUCUGUAAACACACAAAUGUCAGCACACAGACUAUGAAGACUCAGAUUCUGCAGCAAGUGACAGGCUCAGCUGAUAUGAGUGGGUUGGGCAGAUUAGGCAUAAACACUUGACAAUUUUUUUUUCCAGUUUUUUCGAGACAGGGUCUUGCUCUGCCACCCUAGCCUGCAGUGCAUGAUUCGAACACACUUCACUGCAACCUCCACCUUCUGGGUUCAAGUGAUCUUCCCGCUUCAGCUGACAAAUUCUUGAAACAGAGCUGAACUCUGUAUAAACACAGGCUCUGCAAACAGCCACAGGCUCUGCAAAUAGCGAUUUAGCUUGCUCGAGUCUGUGCUCUGUGGUUCUGCGCGUGCAGAGAGGGAGAGAAUGAGAGGGCAGUGAAUGACAGUGACAUGGAAUGAGAAGUACCU
rnacentral:lncRNA from 1 species